rnacentral:tRNA from 1 species
GCUCUUGUAGUUCAACGGAUAGAACAGUCCCGUCCUAAGGGACUAAUGUAGGUUCAAUUCCUGCCAAGAGCA